rnacentral:rRNA from 1 species
GCUAACGGCUGAACUGGCAACUUGGAGAAGUGGCAAGUCUUCCAGUAUGGGGAGCAAAACAGCUAUGGGUCAAGUCCGAUAUCUUUAGGAGAAGUCUUAUUGUGAGGGCGAGUUAUAUAACACCAUAGGACUGGCCGCCCCAUAUGAAAAGAUUAUAUUAGAAUUGAAUGAAGCUUUGUUUAUAUAUUGAUAAUGACAGUAUAUAUAUCGUGUCUUGACUAAUUGCGUGCCAGCAGUCGCGGUAAUACGUAAGAGACUAGUGUUAUUCAUCUUAAUUAGGUUUAAAGGGUACCCAGACGGUCAAUAUAGCUUAUAAAAUGUUAGUACUUGACUAGAGUUUUAUGUAAGAGGGCAGUACUUGAGGAGGAGAGAUGAAAUUUCGUGAUACCAAAGGGACUCUGUAAAGGCGAAGGCAGCCCUCUAUGUAAAAACUGACGUUGAAGGACGAAGGCACAGAGAACAAACAGGAUUAGAUACCCAAGUAGUCUUUGCAGUAAAUGAUGAAUGCCAUAGGUUAGAUUGAUCAAUUAUAGUCUAGGGUUAGUCUAGCAAACUAAUGCCCUAUGAUAUAAUUCAAAAUAUCUGGUCUAUAAAUGAAAGUGUAAGCAUUUCACCUCAAGAGUAAUGUGGCAACGCAGGAACUGAAAUCACUAGACCGUUUCUGACACCAGUAGUGAAG